GUUGAAUAUGCGCUGAAUUUUCCAGAUGGAAAAACGGGGGAACCAACUUGACCGCUUAGACGGCCAACGGGGUGAAUCGGUACCGAACCUUCGGACCGUAGGGCUUCCACAGCCCGAAUCCGCCAGCUAACCUCGUAAGCAACAGUGGGAUAAUGA
rnacentral:sRNA from 2 species